rnacentral:rRNA from 1 species
GAUAGUGAACCAGUACCGUGAGGGAAAGGCGAAAAGAACCCCGGCGAGGGGAGUGAAAAAGAACCUGAAACCGUGUACGUACAAGCAGUGGGAGCACAGGUUUACCUGUGUGACUGCGUACCUUUUGCCAGAAACCGGCUGUUUGAUGUAUCAGUUUUCCCGCACUGACCAGCAAUAGACGUAGACUGUCGCGACCAUAAAUUGUCGCGUGGGGAAUGCUACUCAUCAGACGAUACCGCUCGGAACCGCCAUUU